GGGGGCGAAGGGCUUCGACCAGGCAGUAUGUUGGUAAAAGUGGCACGUAGAGGUUGUCAGGAGGCCUCUUAAAACACCUGGCAGAACUUUUUACAUGCCGACGCAAACUAUGCGUUAGCUGCUUAAGAAUAGCAGCCCGUCUAUGGAUUCUUGCCCGUGGAGUCUAUAGACGGCCGGUUAGCGGGCUAUGCUCCAAACCCUCGCCCAAAGGGGGCGGAGCGAGAAACUUCUUGGGCUAGGCUUUAAAAAUCCUGCCUGUUGGAGUUUUGAAGCCGAAACUCAAAAAACAGGCUAAACGUGUAGAAGCUUUUAUCACGCUGGCCUGGGACGUGGGUUCGAUUCCCACCGCCUCCAUUA
rnacentral:tmRNA from 1 species